rnacentral:rRNA from 1 species
GACGAACGCUGGCGGUAUGCUUAACACAUGCAAGUCGAACGAGAAAAUUCCUUCGGGGAUGAGUAAAGUGGCGAACGGGUGAGUAACGCGUAGAUAAUUUGCCUUAAGGUUUGGGAUGACUUUCCGAAAGGAAAGCUAAUACCGGAUAAUAAAUUUAAUCAUAAGAUUAAGUUUUGAAAGGUUUACUGCCUUGAGAUAAGUCUGCGUAACAUUAGCUAGUUGGUAAGGUAACAGCUUACCAAGGCGAUGAUGUUUAGUGGGUCUGAGAGGAUGAUCCGCCACACUGGAACUGAGAUACGGUCCAG